rnacentral:misc_RNA from 1 species
UCCGAGUUGACCCCGGCAGUCUCCCAAGAGUCCCCGGCAUUACCCGCUGGCAACUAGGGACAGGGGUUGCGCUCGUUGCGCCACUUAAGGUAACACCUCACGGCACGAGCUGACGACAGCCAUGCACCACCUGUGCGGGCUCCGUAGAGCGCCGUGUUUCCACGGCUUCACCCCGCAUGUCAAGCCCAGGUAAGGUUCUUCGCGUUGCAUCGAAUUAAGCCACAUGCUCCGCCGCUUGUGCGGGCCUCCGUCAAUUCCUUUGAGUUUUAGCCUUGCGGCCGUACUCCCCAGGCGGGGCACUUAAUGCGUUAGCGCCGGCACGGAGAGGGUUGAAGACCUCCCCACACCUAGCACCCAACGUUUACGGCUGGGACUAC